GUCGAAGGUAUCAACGUCAACGAAAGCGAAUCUUAAUCGAACCUAACCUACAUGGAUAAAAAUAUAAACCAUGGAAAAACAUUGCUCGGAUCUUGUCCCCUGGACCUUGGAGGACUUUUGGUGUGGAUGAUGUUCAGGGCCUACCAAAGCAAGGUUUAUCAAACAACUGUGGGGUGUUUGUUUUGAUGUACGCUCUGUACAUUGCAAUGGAAGCACAGUGUGAUUUCACUGAGCAAAUUAGGCGAUGGUGGUGCCUAGUUCUCCUGCAGAAU